AUUGAACGCUGGCGGCAGGCUUAACACAUGCAAGUCGAGCGGGGUGAUGGUGCUUGCGCUAUCACUUAGCGGCGGACGGGUGAGUAAUGCUUAGGAAUCUGCCUAUUAGUGGGGGACAACAUCUCGAAAGGGAUGCUAAUACCGCAUACGUCCUACGGGAGAAAGCAGGGGAUCACUUGUGACCUUGCGCUAAUAGAUGAGCCUAAGUCGGAUUAGCUAGUUGGUGGGGUAAAGGCCUACCAAGGCGACGAUCUGUAGCGGGUCUGAGAGGAUGAGCCGCCACACUGGGACUGUGACCCGGCCCAGACUCCUACGGGAGGCAGCAGUGGGGAAUAUUGGACAAUGGGGGGAACCCUGAUCCAGCCAUGCCGCGUGUGUGAAGAAGGCCUUAUGGUUGUAAAACACUUUAAGCGAGGAGGAGGCUACUUUAGUUAAUACCUAGAGAUAGUGGACGUUACUCGCAGAAUAAGCACCGGCUAACUCUGUGCCAGCCGCCGCAGUAA
rnacentral:rRNA from 1 species